UACCUACGGGGCGCAGCAGUCGGGAAUAUUGCGCAAUGGAGGAAACUCUGACGCAGUGACGCCGCGUGCAGGAAGAAGGUUUUCGGAUUGUAAACUGCUUUAGACAGGGAAGAAACAAGACAGUACCUGUAGAAUAAGCUCCGGCUAACUACGUGCCAGCAGCCGCGGUAAUACGUAGGGAGCAAGCGUUAUCCGGAUUUAUUGGGUGUAAAGGGCGUGUAGGCGGGAUUGCAAGUCAGAUGUGAAAACCACGGGCUCAACCUGUGGCCUGCAUUUGAAACUGUAGUUCUUGAGUGCUGGAGAGG
rnacentral:rRNA from 1 species